AGGACCUUACUUGAACAGGAUCUGUUCUAUAGGCUUGUAUCGCUGCAUCCUUUACCAAUAAGGAGGCAAGCACUCAUGUCUGGUUGAUGCAUUCUCACCUCUAGGCCAGAGUGUGAUUAAUGGUCAGGAUCACCUGAUGGGUGUUAUCCGUUGGCUGUAGAAGGAUCGUUCCUGCCUGGUUAAACUGGUGCAGGGCAGGGGGUGGCCUAGAGGUUGUCUGACAGACU